rnacentral:lncRNA from 1 species
GUCACUGGGAGCGUUAUCCACAUUGAAGGUGAAAGGAGAGGAAACCAACAGCAUGUCAUUUUCCAACACUUUGAAAUCCUCUAAACAACGAGAGAACUCACAGUUGAAAGCACGCAGCAGCGAUGUAUACUUCUCCCGCUGGGCAUCUGAUAGGGAACAGACAAGUAGUGUUGGAAGGUGGGUGAGAUUGUUCUCAUCUGAUAGGGAACAGACUAGUAGUGUUGGAAGGUGGGUGAGAUUGUUCUCAUCUGAUAGGGAACAGACUAGUAGUGUGGGAAGGUGGGUGAGAUUGUUGUCAUCUGAUAGGGAACAGACUAGUAGUGUGGGAAGGUGGGUGAGAUUGUUCUCAUCUGAUAGGGAACAGACUAGUAGUGUGGGAAGGUGGGUGAGAUUGUUGGCUUCUACUUGUCGGGUCAGCAGGAGUAAAGGCUUUGACAAGGCUGUACAUCUGAUGUGCAAAAAGGCCCUUCCCUUGUAGUUUGGAAUUCAGUUCAUUCAUGAGGGCCAUGAUGUCCACGGUGAAGGCAAAAUCAGCCAACCAUUCUUUAUUUUGCAGUUGAAGGAAAUCCACAUAUUUUCCUUUCAUUUGCAAAAACUCAGCAAUCUCCGACUUCAGGUCCCACACCCUUUCAAGCACCUUCCCCAAACUCAGCCAUCUCACGUUCAUGUGGUAGGGGAGAUCUGCAUGACCCGACUCUGUCUCUUCCAACAGUGAGACAAACUGCCUGUGGUUUAAAGAUUUUUCUCUUAUGAAGUUAACCACUUUAGUGAAUGUAUCCACAACACGGCUCAUUUUCAGAACACAUUUACAGAGCACCUCCUGAUGAAUAAUGCAAUGCAGGAGAAAAAAAAUUCUGAUCUGUGUUAAGCCCAGCUACUUGAUCUUGUAUCCUUUUCAAAAGGCCAAUGUUUUUUUCCUGUCAAGUUUGGGCACCCAUCGUUGGUCACACCGGAUAACCUUUCAAAACUCAGUCCCAGCUUUGCCACACACUUAUUAACCUCCUCCAAUAAAUCUUUCCCUGUGGUUGUGCUCUUCAUUGACUGCACUGAAGCUCCUCUGUAAUUUCAAAGUCUGGGGUUAUGGUGGGGUUCAUGGGGAUCUGGGGUUCAUGGGGUUCAGGGGUUUUGCCUCGUAAGAAUAUCAACAACUGCGCCGUGUCACGUGCAUCACUGCUCUCAUCCAGGGCCAAGGUGAAAUAGGUGAAAUCCUUUACCUUGUCGUUCAACUGUUGUUCCAUGUUCUCUGCAAUGUCCUCAACACGCCGUGUUACUGUUCGUCUUGACAGGGAAACAUUUUCAAACAGCUCUUUCUUGUCGGGGCAAAGUAUUGCUUCAGAUUCAAUUAAACAUUCUUUAAUGAAUUCGCCCUCAGUGAAUGGCUUGCUAUGUUUUGCAAUUUUGUGGGACAGUACAUAGCUAGCUCUCGCAAUUUCGUAGUUUGCUGAAUGCAGUUUUGUGAAAAGUCCUUGCUGCUUUUGCAACUGAGAACUCUUUCGAUGCACUUGCCCUCUGCCUCAGAAGACAUAUUCCUGCAUGCUUCGUCUGGAAGUGUCGGGACAAGUUGUAGUCUUUCAAGACAGCGAUCCUCUCUUUGCACACUAAGCACACAGCUUUCCCUGAUACCUCAAUAAAUAAAUAUUUCAAUGUCCACUCAUGCUGGAACACCCUACAUUCAUUGUCUACUUUCCUUUUCUUUGAAAUCUUUGAAAAACUAAAUUUUGCGCAAUUUCUUGCUAGCUACUAUUUGUAACUGUGAUGUGUGUGUCAGCCUGUCAGUCCUCGUGUAGUUGUUUUAUUUUUAUGUUCCUUCAAAAUAAAUUUCCCACAAGCGGUGGGAGUUAAGUCAUUACACAAAGGCGAGUAUUCAUUGGGCUUUUAUUUGAAUAACAAAUACGUUUUUCAAAACUUUACUAAUCGCAAAUUAUUUGUGAUCUGAUCGGAGCAUUAUUCCGCGGGCCAUAUCGAAUCAGGUCGCGGGCCACAUAUGGCCCCUGCGCUGGCUUUUGCCCAGGCCUGCUUUACCCAGUAUUUUUUGAAGCACCUUUGGCAGCGGUUACAGCCUUGAUUCUUCUUCGGUAUGACGCUACAAGCUUGGCCCACCUGUAUUUGGGGAAUUUCUCCCAUUCUUCUCUGCAGAUCCUCUCAAGCUCUGUCAGGUUGAAUGGGGAGCUUCUCUGCACAACUAUUUUCUGGUCUCUACAGAGAUGUUAGAUCAGGUUAAAAUCCGGGGUCUGGAUGGGCCAUUCAAGGACAUUCAGAGACCUGUCCCGAAGCCACUCCUGCAUUGUCUUGGCUGUGUGCUUAGGUUCCGUCCCGUUGGAAGGUGAACCUUCACCCCAGUGUGAGGUCCUGAGUGCUCUGGAGCAGGUUUUCAUCAAGGAUCUCUCUGUACUUUGCUCCGUUCAUCAUUCCCUCGAUCCUGACUAGUCUCCCAGUCCCUGCCGCUGAAAAACAUCCCCACAGCAUGAUGCUGCCACCACCAUGCUUUACCGUAGGGAUGGUGCCAGGUUUCCUUCAGAGUUGACGCUUGGCAUUCAGGCUAAAGUGUUAAAGCUUGAAUUCAUCAGACCAGAAAAUCUUGUUUCUCAUGGUCUGAGUCCUUUAGGUGCCUUUUGGCAAACUCCAAGCGGGCUGUCAUGUGCCUUUUACUGAGGAGUGGCUUCAGUCUGGCCACUCUACCAUCGAGGCCUGAUUGGUGGAGUGCUGUAGAGAUGGUUGUCCUUCUGGAAUGUUCUCCCAUAUCCACAGAGGAACUCUGGAGCUCUGUCAGAGUGACCAUCGGGUUCUUGGUCACCUCUCUGACCAAGGCGCUUCUUCCACAAUUGCUCAGUUUGGCGGUGCGGCCAGUUCUAGGAGUAGUCUGGUGGUUCCAAACUUCUUCCAUUUAAGAAUGAUGUAGGCCACUGUGUUCUUGGGGACCUUCAAUGCUGCAGAACAUAUUUUUUUUGUACCCUUCCCCAGAUCUGUGCCUCGACACAAUCCUGUCUCGGAGCUUUACGGACAAUUCCUUCGACCUCAUGGCUUGGUUUUUGCUCUGACAUGCACUGUCAACUGUGGGACCGUAUAUAGACAGGUGUGUGCCUUUCCAAAUCAUGUCCAAUCUAUUGAAUUUACCACAGGUGCACUCCAAUCAAGUUGUAGAAACAUCCCAAGGAUGAUCAAUGGAAACAGGAUGCACCUGAGGUCAAUUUCAAGUCUCAUAGCAAAGGGUCUGAAUACUUAUCUAAACAAGGUAUUAUUUUUUUUAUACAUUUGCAAAAAAAAUCUAAAAACCUGUCCAUGCUCCAUUGCCCAUAGUUCUAGUACAAUGAACAGCCAUGUCACAGUGGCUGAACGCACUGCGUACAGGGACAUGAUCUAAAACUAAUCUGAUAACAUGUAAUCCAUUUAUAAUGCUACUUACUGCUAUAGACAUGCUAAUGCAGGAGAUAUAACCCACAGUAAUGCAGGAGAUAUAGCCCACAGUAAUGCAGGAGAUAUAAUCUUCUCCUUUCCCC